rnacentral:rRNA from 1 species
UAAAAAGCCCGUCUGUCUUAUCAUGCGCGUCGUACGGCAGCACGGACCUUGCUCUGGUGGCGAGUGGCGAACGGUUGAGUAAUAUAUCGGAACGUACCCUACAGUGGGGGAUAACGUACCGAAAGUUACGCUAAUACCGCAUACGAUCUACCGAUUACAUGGGGGGAUCUUAAGAACUCAUGCUCGUGCUGCGACCGAUAUCUGAUUAUCUACUCCCCCUGGUAAAAUCCUACCACUCUGUCUGUCACAUUGUGGGCUGAGAGGACCACCACCCACACUGGACCUGAGACCUUGUCCUCACUCCUACCUUACGCCGCAUUGGCGAAUUUUGUACCAUGAGAGAGACCCUGAUCCACCACUGCCGCGUGAGUGAGCAAUGCCUUCGGGUUUUAAAGCUCUUUUGUCAGGGAAGAAACGGUGACAGCUAAUAUCUCUUGCUAAUGACGGUUCCUGAAGAAUAACUCCCGGCUAACUACGUGAUUCCAGCCAUGUCUAAUACGUAGGGUGCAAGCGUUAAUCGCAUAUUACUGGUCGUCAUCCGCGCGCGCUUGGGUUGGUCCCUCUGAUGUCCUUUCCCCGGGCUCCACCUGGCAAUUGCUCUUGAAGACUGCUACGCUACAAUCUGGCUGAGGGGGGUAGAAUUCCACGUGUAGCAGUCUAGUGCGUAUAUAUGUGGGGCGAACAACUACGGCGAAAGCUAGCCCCUGUGUUGUCUAGAUUGACGCUCAUGCACGAAAGCGUGGCUUAGCCCACAGGAUCAGAUAUCCUCGUAGUCGACGCUCUACACGACGUCUACUAUUUGUGGGGUCUUAGUUGAUUUGCCCACGUAUCUCACAUGCGAAGUAUACAGUCUGGGAUGUACGUCCCAAAGAUUGCCACUGGAAUGUAAUUGACGAGGUACCAAAACAGCUGCGCAUGAUGUGCAUCAGUCGAUGCGACUAAAAAUAGCUUCACCUACCUCUUGACAUGGCUGCAGUCACGUAGAAUAUUGAGGUGCUGCUCGAACGAGACAGUACUCAGGAGCAUACAUGACUGUCGUCAGCUUCUGUCUGACAUGUUGGCUUAACUACCGACGACUCAUCUUGUCAUAUUUGCUACGAUAGCUCUCUCUGAUGACUGCAGUGACACCGGGAGCACACGCGUGGGAGUACGUCAAGGCUCUAGGUCCCCUAUGUGGGUGGGUUUCACGCUACAUUGGUGUUCUCACGUCACACAAUGGUACAUACAGAGCGCCGCCAACCCGCGAGGGGGAGUUAAUCGCAGAAAGUGUAUCGUAGUCCGGACUGUAGUUUGCAACUUGACUCCAUGAAGUCGGAAUCGCUAGUAAUCGCGGAUCAGCAUGUCGCGGUGAAUACGUUCCCGGGUCUUGUACACACCGCCCGUCACACCAUGGGAGCGGGUUUUACCAGAAGUAGGUAGUUUAACCGCAAGGAGGGCGCGCUAGAUAGAGCAUUCGAAUGCC